GGGGAAGAAAGACCAGCAAGCUGACGACGGGGAAGAAAGACCAGCAAGCUGAUGAUGGGGAAGAAAGACCAACAUCUAAUAACCGAUGGGGGGGUCCCCCAGAGAAAUCAUCAGACUGAUCAUCUCAUGCCCAUACCUGCCCAUUAACACAAUUUCUAGGCAACUUUAAAUUCUUUUCCAUUAAAGUUUAUCGCAAGAUACUGAAUAUACAACUGCAUCUGCCAAUCCCAGACCCUCAGUCUGCCCCCCCCAACCCUAUCUGUUUUCUGUGUCCAUGUGUCUGUUUCUGUUUUGUAAAUAAGUUCAUUUGUAUCAUUUUGUAGAUUCCAUAUGUAAGGGAUAUUAUACUUGCCUUUCUCUGACGUCACCUAGUAUGAUAAUCUCUAGGUUCAUCAACUAGGCAACUUUUAAGUGUUUCAUUUUUUAUUUUUUUAAGAUUAAAAAAUUUGUUUUAAUACAUUGAUUUUUAUUUUUUUCCAUUAUAGCUGGUUGACAGUGUUCUGUCAGUUUUCUGCCGUACAGCAUGGUGACCCAGUUACACCAUGUAUGCAUUCUUUUUUCUCACAUCAUCAGGCUCCAUCACAAAUGACCAAACGUAGUUCCCAGAACUACACAGCAGGAUCUCAUUGCUAAUCCACUCCAAAGGCAACAGUCUGCAUCUGUGAACCCCAAGCAGCCCAUCCAUCCCGUUCCCUCCCCUCAUUUUAAAAUAUGAAGCUAAGGAUCAAACAUUUUAGGAUAACCAUAAUAAGAAAGGGAAGAAGGAAAUAUGAACAAUUCAAGAAGAAAACUUCUUUUGAAAGUUAUAUGUCUCUGGAAGAAGGGAUAAUUUUAUCUUUGACCAUGAAAGGAUGCUAGUUUAAAAAAAAGCAAUCCUCAGAAAACAGAGAUGAGCUCAGACAUUUAGAAUGUGAAAUAAUAGAAGAGUUAAAAAUUUAGGAUAUUAAACUUCUCGUAGAAGGUUAGAAGAUAAAAUUGAGAAAAUCUUUUCACAAAGUAGG
rnacentral:lncRNA from 1 species